UUAAACGGCCGCGGUACCCUGACCGUGCUAAGGUAGCAUAAUCCCUUGCCUCCUAAUUAGUGGCUAGAAUGAAUGGAUAAACGAAAAUUAACCUGUCUCGAUAAAUCACCCAAAAAUUAACCUUCAAGUGAAGAGACUUGAAUUAAAAUAAAAGACAAGAAGACCCUGUAGAGCCUCAACUUAAUUCUAGACUUAAAAAUAAAAUACACAAAAUAUCUAAUACCGUUUCAAUUGGGGCGAUUAAGGAACAUCCAAACCUUCCUUCAAAAAAGGCCUAUAAGCCUAAACAAUGAUCCAAUUUAUGACCAAAAACCAAGGCUACCUCAGGGAUAACAGACUAAUCUUUCUUAAGAGCCCAUAUUAACAGAAAGGAUUGGCACCUCGAUGUUGGCUUAGGGUCCCUAUAGGGUGCAGCAGCCCUAAUAGUAGGUUUGUUCAACCUUUAAAACCCUACGUGAUC
rnacentral:rRNA from 1 species